GACGAACGCUGGCGGCGUGCUUAACACAUGCAAGUCACGGGGGUCUCGCAAGAGAGAACCGGCGAACGGGUGCGUAACACGUGAACAACCUGCCGUUGUGAGGGGGAUAGCCGGGCUAACGCCCGGGUAAUACCGCAUACGCUGCCCGAGGGGAGUCCCUUGGGGAGGAAAGCCAUGGCGCAAGCGAUGGCGCACGACGAGGGGUUCGCGGCCUAUCAGCUAGGUUGGGGGC
rnacentral:rRNA from 1 species